UUCCUCUGUGGUGAAUAUCUGAGCUCACUUGGUACAGUGAUGGGUACUUGGAUAAACUGCUUGAAGAGUGUGUGUGCAAGGGUGAAAUGGGAGAUACUGCCUGUACCCCCAAAAGGCCAGCUAGAUGAAGUGUUUCAUGGAGGAGGGUUUGCUCUGGGGCAGAAUGCUGCAAAUCCCAGAGUUCUGCAUCGAGGCUGAGGUGGAACCGAAUUAGAGGCUGCUCCCUGGAGGGCAGCCAGACAAGAGUUACAUGAAGAUUAACAGAGACAAAGAGUGCAACACUGAGUUCCAAUCGAAGACAUCAAGCUACAGAUGGUCUUACAAAUGGAACCCCAAAUGAGUUCAACUAACAACUUCUACCGAGGACCCCUGGACUGACCCGCUGGCACUUUCACUGGCCUAGAGAGCUCCCCUCUGGAGGACACUACAACUGCAGGGCCCCUUCAUUGCCCCUAUGCAGCAGGAAGUAGCUAGAGCGGUCAUCGGCCAAAUUCCCAACAGCAGUUGGGGUGUCCUGUUUAGAGGGGGGAUUGAGAGGUGACAGUGUGCUGGCAGCCCUCGCUCACUCUUGGUGCCUCCUCAGCCUUGGCGCCCACUCUGGCCAUGCUUGAGGAGCCCUUCAGCCUGCUGCUGCACUGCAGGAGCCCCUCUCUGGGCUGGCCGAGGCCAGAGCCAGCUCCCUCUGCUUGCAGGGAGGUGUGGAGGGAGAGGCGCAGGUGGGAACCGGGGCUGAGGGCAGCGUUCGUGGGCCAGUGCAAGUUCCAGGUGGGUGUGGGCUCAGCAGGCCUCGCACUCAGAGCGGCUGGCCAGUGCUGCCAGCCCUGGGCAGUGAGGGGCCUAGCACCUGGGCCAGCAGCUGCAGAGGGUGCGCCAGGUCCCCCAGGAGUGCCAGCCUGAUGGCACUGUGCUCAAAUUCUUGCUGGGCCUCAGCUGCCUCCCCACAGGGCAGGGCUCGGGACCUGCUGCCCACCAUGCCUGAGCCUCCCCUCCCCACUGUGGGCUCUUGUGUGGCCCAAGCCUCCCCGACGAGCACCGCCCCCUGCUCUGUGGCGCCCGGUCCCAUUGACCAACCAAGGGCUAAGGGGUGCAGGUGCACGGUGUGGGACUUGCAGGCAGCUCUGCCUGUGGCCCUGGUGUGGGAUCCACUAGGUGAAGCCAGCUGGGCUCCUGAGUUUAGUGGGGACUUGGAGAACCUUUAUGUCUAGCUAAGGGAUUAUAAAUACACCAAUCAGCACUCUGUGUCUAGCUCAAGGUUUGUAAACACACCAAUCAGCACUCUGUAUCUAGCUAAUCUAGUGGGGACUUGGAGAACCUUUAUGUCUAGCUAAGGGAUUGUAAACACACCAAUCAGCACCCUGUGUCUAGCUCAAGGUUUGUAAAUGCACCAAUCAGUACUCUGUGUCUAGCUAAUCUAGUGGGGACUUAGAGAACCUUUAUGUCUAGCUAAGGGAUUGUAAAUACACCAAUGAGCACUCUGUGUCUAGCUCAAGGUUUGUAAAUGCACCAAUCAGCACUCUGUAUCUAGCUAAUCUAGUGGGGACUUGAAGAACCUUUAUGUCUAGCUAAAGGAUUGUAAAUACAUCAGUCAGCACUCUGUGUCUAGCUCAAGGUUUGUAAACACACCAAUCAGCACCCUGUGUCUAGCUCAAGGUUUGUAAAUGCACCAAUCAGUGCUCUGUGUCUAGCUAAUCUAGUGGGGAUUUGGAGAACUUUUGUGUCUAGCUCAGGGAUUGUAAAUGCACCAAUCAGCACCCUGUCAAAAUGGACCAAUUGGCUCUCUGUAAAACAGACCAAUCGACUCUCUGUAAAAUGGACGAAUCAGCAGGAUGUGGGUGAGGCCAGAUAAGGCAAUAAAAACAGGCUGCCAG
rnacentral:lncRNA from 1 species